rnacentral:rRNA from 1 species
GACGAACGCUGGCGGCGUGCUUAACACAUGCAAGUCGAACGGAAAGGCCCUGCUUUUGUGGGGUGCUCGAGUGGCGAACGGGUGAGUAACACGUGAGUAACCUGCCCUUGACUUUGGGAUAACUUCAGGAAACUGGGGCUAAUACCGGAUAGGAGCUCCUGCUGCAUGGUGGGGGUUGGAAAGUUUCGGCGGUUGGGGAUGGACUCGCGGCUUAUCAGCUUGUUGGUGGGGUAGUGGCUUACCAAGGCUUUGACGGGUAGCCGGCCUGAGAGGGUGACCGGCCACAUUGGGACUGAGAUACGGACCAGCCUCCUACGGGAGGCAGGAGUGGUGAAUAGUGCACAAUGGGCGGAAGCCUGAUGCAGCAACGCCGCGUGCGGGAUGACGGCCUUCGGGUUGUAAACCGCUUUCGCCUGUGACGAAGCGUGAGUGACGGUAAUGGGUAAAGAAGCACCGGCUAACUACGUG